GUUUUUUGUCCUUGAGAAGGCUCGUCUUCCUCUUGCGGAAGCUCUCCGCUCCGCAUGCAGCUGCUCAUUCUCGUAUCGCACGUCUGCAUCAACUCCUCUUCCGCAUCUCUGUCGAGUUAUGACUUGUGACCUAUUUUGCUGAUGGCUGGUCAAAUUUGUCGUGGAAAGGGAAGGCUCAAUGAGGCAGCACAUUGUUGUAGUUAGGCUUUAGCAGUCGUUGUCUGCCCCAAUUAAUUGUCACAGCAACCUUUGGGGGAAUAUGAUGAAGGUUCAUGGUCCAUUACAAGAAGCUGGCUGUUCAACCUUCUCCUCGUCGAUUGAGGCUAUUGCUUUUAAUCUAGUUCUUCCCCUUCCCAUAACCGAGAUGUUUUUCCUACAUUGGAGGAGAAGGUGGGCUGAGGUUGGUCCAAAAUUAUAUCAGAAUGAAAGGCCCAUGAUCUUCAACUAGAAGGUUUUCUGAACUUGGUUGCCUGCCCAUGCCUGCUGUGGUUGGCGAACCAAGAGCCUCUGAUGCCAUUCACCAUUCAAUGACUUGUCUAGAAAAAACAAAAUACUUAAUACUACCAAAGGAGGUUGUUGAGUUGGUUGAAGUUAUCCUUAGCAAUGUGUUGUUGAUGUACUGAACACGAAAUAAUGCCUUUUCUUUUUAUGUUUGUUGUGGUUUAAAGCAUAUGUUGCUGGCAACCGAAACUGUUUGAUAUCGGCAUUUCCAAUGGGUUAAACACUUGCUGGAAGCUCGAGUCCAGACAUAGAAUUGAGUUGCAGCUUAUGACCAAGAGAUUGGAGUAAGGCCGAGAGAGCAAAGUUUGCUGGCCUAACACUUACCAUGGGGGAGAUGUUGAUUGGAGAAAAAAGAGGGAUUCCUUCCGACCAACCUCCAAAGUGCGAAAAUGAAAAAGAAGAAAGAAAAGGGAGCACCAAGAGUGGGAG